UAUAACAGCAUAUAUUUCAAACUUCUGUAGAAAUAUAAGUCAUAUGUAUUUAAGCUCAGCUAAGUUUGUUAUAAAUGUUUAUAGGCUGAAAUAAAUAGAUUGGCAAGUUUUGUGAUUUUUUUUUUCAGAAUAGGGAGAUGUGGUAUGGUUGUCAAUGAGAUAGUUAUCCACCAGAGUUCAUUUUAUGCGACUAUAGGUCAUCGUAUUUCAUUGCAUUGUUUUAGUCAUACUCUUGCAUUACCCGUUAUAUAUCUUCCUUUAGUCAAACAUAUAUAACUUUGAAAUGUGUCCACAUCAUUGAAGCCCUUGUGUUAACAAAACAUCUCACCAAAAUAAUAGAACAAAAUGAAUGACUAUAUUGUACAUGAUGAAGACAUAUUAAACUUGUUUUAAGAAUAUUUGAAUAGAAUUUGGUUGUCAUGGUGAUAUUUCUGAUAAACAAAUUACCUUUAUUGUCUUCUUUAAUUUGAAUACAUAUUUUAUGCAUCAAUAUCAAAUAUUUAUACAAAAAUUGACAAUUCAGUCAAAAUGGCCGUAUGAAGAAAUUGUUAUAAUUGCAAAAAAAUACAUUUGCGGUUACCAUAGCAACCAAAUCAAAAUAAAUAGUUUCAUGUUAAUAGAUAGAAUAUUAUUUUACAAUAAAUGCACAGCAUACAUACCUACUUUACUGAUCACAUGAAUUAUGAUUUUGAUGAUUUCAAGGUAUUUCAACGUUUUUUAGGCCUAUCCUUAAAAUCGUAUCUACCUCCGUUACCAUGGCAACCACAUUUUAAACUGGGGUAUAUAUCAUCAGUACAUGUUACCAUGAUACACAUAUGUAAAUAUUAACAUGAUUCUAAAAUGGGCCAAAAAUGACCCUUAAUGCCCCUACUCCUU
rnacentral:lncRNA from 1 species